GUGGCUAUAGAACAAUGGCUAGUUCGGCAGAUUGUGGAUCUGCUCAUCCGGGUUCGAUUCCCGGUAGUCACCCCA
rnacentral:tRNA from 1 species